AGGACAAACGCUGGCGGGGUGCAUGAGACAUGCAAGUCGAACGGGGUUCCAUCGGGCUUGCUCGAUGGAACCUAGUGGCGGACGGCUGAGUAACGCGUAGGUGACCUACCCGGAAGUGGGGAAUAACUGCCCGAAAGGGUGGCUAAUACCGCAUGUGGUCGGCGAUUCGAUUCGCCGUCCAAAGGAGAAAUCCGCUUCCGGCGGGGCCUGCGUCCGAUUAGCUAGUUGGUGGGUAACGGCUCACCAAGGCGACGAUCGGUAGCUGGUCUGAGAGGAUGAUCAGCCAGACUGGGACUGACGAACGGCCCAGACUCCUACGGG
rnacentral:rRNA from 1 species